CGCGCAUGCAGGACCAGGCACGUAACCGUUUGGAGACUGUCUGGAGUCUGUCUGAAAUAGAUAAAAUUGAAAAUGGACUUUUAGAUAUCUGUGUUCAUUUACAAGGAAGCCGCCUGUUGGAAAAUGGGAUCUUUGCUCUCCUCCUCGAGCGCCUUCGCCCACCAGUCGCCACGCUCUGGCAAAAAUGUAGAUUUUUUUUCUAGAUAAACGUUGUGAAAGUUUUUUCUUCUGCAGUCUAUCAGGAGACAGCUCUUUAUGCACAGGGAAUCACCCUUCAGCCCUGGAGUUCAAGAGGAGUGCACCAUCCAGAAGGCAGCCUACAAGAGCACAGAAAGGCCUGUCCCUAACCUGAACCAGUGUCUGACAAAAAAUGAUUGGAAAUGCAAUUAGAAAGGAGAGCCCUGGUUUCUUGAAGUCUGUCAUGCCUUCAUAUGUUUGACCCUGAAGUAUACCCGCCCAAAUGUGCAGGGAGCUAGCUGGUGUACUAGGAGGAAGAUGUCAUGCUAAGGAUGGGUUUUGGUGAUGAUGUUGCUACUGUUGAUGCAGCAUCGAGCUCUCACUUUGUGCCUCUGUCAGCUAUGAUCCGUAACCACAAAGUGAGUGACAGGCCAGUCCCUGGGGAAAGCAAGGGGGCCUGAGGUGAGUCAGAUGUAUCCUUGACCCUGUCUGGCUGUGUGUCAGCGAGCAACACAAACUCUGUAUAAAAAAAAAAGAAAAAGAAAAAAAAAAAGGCCAAAACUGGCAUGACUGUACAUUGUACAUCUUUAUUUAGUAUGUAGAAGAAGAAUGUAGGAGAAACAGAACCAACCUGAGUUUUUCUGUUAAGUGGAUCCGUUUUUUUGUUGUUGCUAGACUCAUUUUGAAAUUAUAAUGAAGCGCACAUUACAAAUUGAUACCUUUGAUACCUUUGUGUGCAUUUCUCUUCCACCAGAGUGCUGAUGUUUUAAUCUUGGCUUUGUGAUGUUGUCACAGACCUGUUUUAGACAAACUCAGCACAAAUUUUGUAUACACUGUUUACUCCAGUGCAUUACAUAUGGCUUAAAUAACACAUUCAUGCAAGGAAACAUAAAUCUGUUCAUUACUGAGGGUAAAUUUUACUCAGGUUUGAAGUUGCAAAGUGGCAUAUUCACUCAAAUUAGCAUUUUGAUUUUUUUCACUUAAAAUAACUGAAGCUGAUGAUUGAGAAAAUCUUUAUUAAUAUAGCUGUUGUACAGGAUAUGUGGUCAAAUGGUAGAAAAAUGUUCCACUGUUAAUCAGCUGCAGCACUAGGUGUUGCAAUACUUAAAGAUGGUGUAACGUUUGUACACGAUGGACUCAAAAUGAGGGGCCUGGAAAAUGUUAUCCACAUCUCAGGAUUUCUUAUUAGAGCAAAUACCUGAUCAGUUUGAGAAGGUGUCCAAUUGAGAAGAAAUUUUUGAAUUUAUUGAAUUGCGAUAAAAUAUCUGUUUUAUUUCUGGCCUUUUUUUGUUAUAUUCAUGUACUGACAAAUUUAAAAAUAUAUAGAUUUUAGACUUUUAAUCAGAUAAAACUGUUAAUCUGAUGAUAAUGUUUAAGCAUUUUGUGUUUGGGGAUUUUGUGUAUCUAAUGUCUGAACAAUAAAUGAUCAAUGCAAAAUUUAAAGAAUAUAAUGAUGAUUAGUGAAAAUAAUUUUUGUAGUUGCUGCUUUUAGGUGUAAAUGUACAUUCAGAAAUUGAUAUCUGCAGAUGUUCCAAAAGAAAACAUUGUGUUUUGUGCCAUGCAAGAUAUUUGCUUCCACUUGCCAAAAAAGAUGACCCAUAAGACAUAUUAGGAAAUUAUUUUAAAAGUUGGUGUUUUUUUUUUUUAGUUCUAAAGUGCUUAUUGUAAUAUUUUGUAGCAGCAAUCAAAGACAAGAGUUCAUCCAAAGCCGUAGUCAGUGUUACACCAGACGCAUUCUGCAAAAGACAUGAUUCAACUUAAGGUGCAACUGCAAGAAAUGAUGUAUUUAUGUUAAAUUAAAUGUAAGAUAACUAUGACCGUAAUAUUAAAUAACUUUUUAUUAAUAAACAUUUCCUAUUCUGUAAUUGCUUCUCUUAUUUUGUUCCUAUAUUUCUUUUACCAUCUUUUUGUUA
ensembl:lncRNA